rnacentral:rRNA from 1 species
UACGGGGGGGGCAAGCGUUGUUCGGAAUUACUGGGCGUAAAGGGCAAGUAGGCGGCCAACUAAGUCGGAUGUGAAAUCCCCAGGCUUAACUUGGGAACUGCAUCCGAUACUGGAUGGCUUGAAUUCGGGAGAGGGAUGCAGAAUUCCAGGUGUAGCGGUGAAAUGCGUAGAUAUCUGGAGGAAUACCGGUGGCGAAGGCGGCAUCCUGGACCGAGAUUGACGCUGAACGGCGAAAGCUAGGGGAGCAAACGGG